CCUAAAUGAUAUGCCAGAUAUUCGGAAGAAAGCUUGUUCCAAAUUGUUUAAACAACAGGAGCUUCAUAGGAGCAAACUUUUGUCAUCCUACAAGGAUAUGGUACGAAGAUAAAGCACACACUUCUUUUCUGUUUGUAAUUCCUAAUGAAUGCAUACACACUUGGGAAGUUGAAUAGUUGAAUGUGGUUGAGCAAACAAUUUAUGGGUAAGAAACUGUGUUGAAAUUUUAUUGCAUCAUCGAGAUUACGAAUGGAAUCCCAUUACUUUCUCCUUAUUUUAUGUAAAUUCCCAGAAUUUUGGUUUGGAAUUACAUUAAAUUAAGGAUAGCGUAAGUUAGGUGUAUAAGUUCUAAUAAUAACACUUUAUGCAAAAGGAAUAUGCACCUUGUCUGUAACUCUAUUAAUGCAAAUAUCCUUAAAUACGUAGGCAUUGAUCAACCAUAUGAAGUUAUAGGCAAGGGCUUUUCUCAAGUAACUUGCUUGGGCUUUUUUUAUUGUGUUCAUUGUAAUAACUUCUUUGCAGGUGACUGUUGUAACUCACAUGGUCAACACUAGUAGAUCCAUGAGAUGCUAUGUCAAAGGGACAGCCAAUAGUCCUAUUCUGCAAUUUUCUAGUAGUUCUGAGGAUAAUAAUGACACUGGUGAUGGUGCUGGGAUUCCAGUCUUUGCAUUUUGGCCAAUUUCUUCAUUUGGUAUGUACGUAUCUGCAAAUGUUGUAUAAUGUAUAUACCAUUUUAAAGUUUUGAGACAUCAAAAUUCCAGUUCAGGGCAUCACAUUACCAUUAUCGCAUCCCUAUCUUAUUUAUCAAGUUGGUUUUUGUUUGAUCAUCUUCUAGCAGAAGUUUGAAUUAUAAGGUUUAAAUGGCCAAAUCUUUUUAUUGUCUUGUUGAUGAAAUUUACCAUUGAUGAUUCUGAUAUUUGAAUGAUUUCAGAGCAGUUAGCAGAGGAGCUUGUUCAAAUGUUUAUAUCUGAGCUCAAUUUGAAGAGACUACUUGUAGUGGAGUUGCUUACAAUUAGCUGUGAGGUUCCACAAGUCAAUGAGUUAUAUUGGUCAAAUGAGCUUUAUCCAGGAGAAUUUGAUGAUCUGAGCAUUUGCAACUUGUAUUCGAAGGAAACCUGUAAACCAGUGCCUCCAAGAUUGGUGGAAGGGAAGUAUGAUAUGCGUAACAUGCAAUUCAAGAGUCAACCAAAUGAGGAUAUUUUGCAGGUUUACCUAACAACAUGGCUGGCAGAGGUGAAUAUAGAUAUCCAUAGGGUGGAUGAAAUAUUUGCAAUUAUAGGGGAGGAAAUGCAUGUCAACUUAUCGUGAGCUCUUUCCCUAAUCAUGCACCAUAGUGAGAUGAGGCUAUCAAUGCUAAUCCUUCACCUUAUGACCAUCUGGGCCAACAUCUCGAUAGUCUUUUGUCAAGGCAAGCUUAAAUUAGGUAAGGUGCUGGAUCCCAAGAGCGGAAGGAAACUAUUUAACCAAGUAGGUACCAUCUUCCUUACUACUAGUAGCAACCUGCUUGUAUGUUAAUCACAAACAAGGCAUCAAGGGGUACUGUUGAGAUUGCGUAACAAUAAGCAUGUUUGUUCAGGACUCUUAAAUGAGAGGAGAUUGAGAUGUGACAGAAAUGGAAAUUUAAUUCUAAGAAGCUGUGUAUUCUCUUUAAAAAUAAGUCCCAAAAAUAUAGGGGAAAAUACAUGAAAUGGAAAUAACAAUGUUUACCAUUUUACAUGAUCCUUCUUUUCCUCCUCUAUUUCCUAUUUCUUGUAAGAUUUAACCAAACAAGAACCGAGUAUCUUUCAUUAUAGUGUCUUUUUUUCCUGUUAACAUUCUCUCCGCAUCUCAUUUCCUAGAUGAGUACUAAUGUUAAUAGCAAUGUUGUCAGUUCAUUAUGGGAGUGAAUUGUACAUUGGAUGAUGACUGAUAAGAUGAGCCCUUUCCAUGUGAACUCUUCCAACAGGUUUAUCUCAUUCUUUCUAACCGCCCAUUGAACAUAAGGUCAUAAAAUGACCAGUGAAUGAAUUGUCG
rnacentral:misc_RNA from 1 species